UACGUAGGGAGCAAGCGUUGUUCGGAUUUACUGGGCGUAAAGGGCGCGUAGGCGGCAAAUUAAGUCAGCUGUGAAAUCUCCGAGCUUAACUCGGAACGGUCAGCUGAUACUGAUCUGCUAGAGUGCGGAAGGGGCAAUCGGAAUUCUUGGUGUAGCGGUGAAAUGCGUAGAUAUCAGGAGGAACACCAAUAGCGAAGGCAGCUCGCUGGGACGGUACUGACGCUAAGGCGCGAAAGCGUGGGGAGCGAACAGG
rnacentral:rRNA from 1 species